rnacentral:rRNA from 1 species
CAGACUGCGAGUGCUAAGAUCCGUAGUCGAAAGGGAAACAGCCCAGACCACCAGCUAAGGUCCCCAAAUAAUUGUUAAGUGGAAAAGGAUGUGGGGUUGCACAGACAACUAGGAUGUUAGCUUAGAAGCAGCUAUUCAUUCAAAGAGUGCGUAAUAGCUCACUAGUCGAGUGACCCUGCGCCGAAAAUGUACCGGGGCUGAAACAAUUUACCGAAGCUGUGGAUCCCUUAGGGGAUGGUAGGAGAGCGUUCUAUGUGCGCAGAAGGUGUACCGCAAGGAGCGCUGGAGUGCAUAGAAGUGAGAAUGCCGGUAUGAGUAGCGUAAGACAGGUGAGAAUCCUGUCCACCGUAAGACUAAGGAUUCCAGGGGAAGGCUCGUCCGCCCUGGGUUAGUCGGGACCUAAGGAGAGACCGAUAGGUGUAUCCGAUGGGCAACAGGUUGAUAUUCCUGUACUAGAGUAUUGAGUGAAGGAGGGACGCAGCAGGCUAACUAGAGCGUGCGAUUGGAAGAGCACGUCCAAGCAGUGAGGUGAGGACUGAGUCAAAUGCUUAGUUCUGCGCCACCAAGCUGUGACGGGGAGCGAAGUUUAGUAGCGAAGCUAGUGAUGUCACUCUGCCAAGAAAAGCUUCUAGCGUUAAUGAAUACUCUACCCGUACCGCAAACCGACACAGGUAGUCGAGGCGAGUAGCCUCAGGUGAGCGAGCGAACUCUCGUUAAGGAACUCGGCAAAAUGGCCCCGUAACUUCGGGAGAAGGGGCGCUGGCGAUAAGUCAGCCGCAGUGAAAAGGCCCAAGCAACUGUUUAUCAAAAACACAGCUCUCUGCGAAAUCGUAAGAUGAAGUAUAGGGGGUGACGCCUGCCCGGUGCUGGAAGGUUAAGAGGAGCGCUUAGACGUUUGUCGAAGGUGUGAAUUGAAGCCCCAGUAAACGGCGGCCGUAACUAUAACGGUCCUAAGGUAGCGAAAUUCCUUGUCGGGUAAGUUCCGACCCGCACGAAAGGCGUAAUGAUUUGGGCACUGUCUCAACGAGAGACUCGGUGAAAUUUUAGUACCUGUGAAGAUGCAGGUUACCCGCGACAGGACGGAAAGACCCCAUGGAGCUUUACUGCAGUUUGAUAUUGCGUAUCUGUUACACAUGUACAGGAUAGGUAGGAGCCAAGGAAGAGUGAACGCUAGUUUACUUGGAGGCGAUGUUGGGAUACUACCCUUGUGUGAUGGCUACUCUAACCCGGUAGGUUGAUCAUCUACGGAGACAGUGUCUGACGGGCAGUUUGACUGGGGCGGUCGCCUCCUAAAGCGUAACGGAGGCGCCCAAAGGUUCCCUCAGACUGGUUGGAAAUCAGUCGCAGAGUGUAAAGGUAUAAGGGAGCUUGACUGCGAGACAGACAAGUCGAGCAGGGACGAAAGUCGGGCUUAGUGAUCCGGUGGUACCGUAUGGAAGGGCCAUCGCUCAACGGAUAAAAGCUACCCUGGGGAUAACAGGCUUAUCUCCCCCAAGAGUUCACAUCGACGGGGAGGUUUGGCACCUCGAUGUCGGCUCGUCGCAUCCUGGGGCUGUAGUCGGUCCCAAGGGUUGGGCUGUUCGCCCAUUAAAGCGGCACGCGAGCUGGGUUCAGAACGUCGUGAGACAGUUCGGUCCCUAUCCGUCGCGGGCGAAGGAAAUUUGAGAGGAUCUGCUCCUAGUACGAGAGGACCAGAGUGGACUUACCGCUGGUGUACCAGUUGUUCUGCCAAGAGCAUCGCUGGGUAGCUAAGUAGGGAGGGGAUAAACGCUGAAAGCAUCUAAGUGUGAAGCCCCCCUCAAGAUGAGAUUUCCCAUAACGUUCAGUUAGUAAGAGCCCUGAGAGAAGAACAGGUAGAUAGGUUGGGAGUGGAAGCGUUGUGAGACGUGAAGCGGACCAAUACUAAUCGCUCGAGGACUUAUCCAAAA